UUCAGAGGGGGAUAACGUUUGGAAACGAACGCUAAUACCGCAUAACGUAUUGGGGUCGCAUGGCCCUGAUACCAAAGGAGCAGUCCGCUGAAAGAUGGGCUCGCGUCUGAUUAGAUAGUUGGCGGGGUAACGGCCCACCAAGUCGACGAUCAGUAGCCGGACUGAGAGGUUGAACGGCCACAUUGGGACUGAGACACGGCCCAGACUCCUACGGGAGGCAGCAGUGGGGGAUAUUGCACAAUGGGGGAAACCCUGAUGCAGCGACGCCGCGUGAGGGAAGACGGCCUUCGGGUUGUAAACCUCUGUCUUAGGGGACGAAGGAAGUGACGGUACCCUGAGAGGAAGCUCCGGCUAACUAC
rnacentral:rRNA from 1 species